rnacentral:tRNA from 1 species
GCCGAAGUAGCUCAGCUGGUAGAGCAGCUGAUUUGUAAUCAGCCGGUCGUAGAUUCAAGUCCUAUCUUCGGCU